UACGAAGGGGGCGAGCGUUGUUCGGAUUUACUGGGCGUAAAGGGCGCGUAGGCGGCCGAUCAAGUCAGGCGUGAAAGCCCCGGGCUCAACCUGGGAAUGGCGCUUGGGGCUGGUUGGCUUGAGUUCGGGAGAGGAGAGUGGAAUUCCCAGUGUAGAGGUGAAAUUCGUAGAUAUUGGGAAGAACACCGGUGGCGAAGGCGGCUCUCUGGACCGAGACUGACGCUGAGGCGCGAAAGCGUGGGGAGCAAACAGG
rnacentral:rRNA from 1 species